rnacentral:rRNA from 1 species
GGAUCAGUGGCGAACGGGUGAGUAACACUUGAGCAACCUGCCCUCCACUUCGGGAUAACCCUGGGAAACGGGGUUAAAUACCGGAUAUGACACGCGGCCGCAUGGUGGUGUGUGGAAAGUUUUUCGGUGGGGGAUGGGCUCGCGGCCUAUCAGCUUGUUGGUGGGGUGAUGGCCUACCAAGGCGUCGACGGGUAGCCGGCCUGAGAGGGCGACCGGCCACACUGGGACUGAGACACGGCCCAGACUCCUACGGGAGGCAGCAGUGGGGAAUAUUGCACAAUGGGCGCAAGCCUGAUGCAGCGACGCCGCGUGAGGGAUGACGGCCUUCGGGUUGUAAACCUCUUUCAGCAGGGAAGAAGCGUAAGUGACGGUACCUGCAGAAGAAGCGCCGGCUAACUACGUGCCAGCAGCCGCGGUAAUACGUAGGGCGCAAGCGUUGUCCGGAAUUAUUGGGCGUAAAGAGCUCGUAGGCGGUUUGUCGCGUCUGGUGUGAAAUCCCGAGGCUCAACCUCGGGCNUGCAUCGGGUACGGGCAGACUAGAGUGCGGUAGGGGAGACUGGAAUUCCUGGUGUAGCGGUGGAAUNCGCAGNUAUCAGGAGGAACACCGAUGGCGAAGGCAGNNA